rnacentral:misc_RNA from 1 species
UGGUUCUGGCAUNGAUGAAGAACGCAGCGAAAUGCGAUAAGUAAUGUGAAUUGCAGAAUUCAGUGAAUCAUCGAAUCUUUGAACGCACAUUGCGCCCUCUGGUAUUCCGGGGGGCACGCCUGUCCGAGCGUCAUCGAAUCAAUCAAGCCCCGCUUGGUAUUGGGCCUCCCCCGCGAGAGCGUGCCCGAAUGGCAGCGGCGCGGCCGCCGUGAGAAGAACGCAUUGGAAUUUUUUCGUUCUUGCCUCCCGGCGUUCGUUGCCACAGACCUUAAAACUCUGAAAAUUGACCUCGGAUCAGACGAGAUUACCCGCUGA